rnacentral:sRNA from 1 species
GGAUAUGGAUGAACGGCUAAAGACGCGCCGUCCUGGCGCAACGCCGUUCUAACCAACUUCCUGUUGG